GACCUAUGAAUGCUGUCGUUGCAGAAAUGUUAGCCAAUCGUAGGUCGUACGUUGAGUGAUGGUAUAAAUAGACGCACACCGGCAUGGGACCCGUCAUAGCCACAGCGACAGGGCAGGAAGAUACUGAGCCUAUAAGGAUCGAGCAACUUAAAAUGCUUGGACGAAAUCUGGUGAUAAAUCAAUAUAAACAAGGACGAAGUAGUCACACAACUGACACACAUCACAAUUCAUUUAUUACCUGAAAGGUUCAACCUUUGACCUUCAUCCAAAAUGACGUUAGAGAAACUGUUUUACGUCGGUGUGUAUAUCACACAGAGACACCACAUCUUACCCGUCAGUGGUCUGCUGGCAAGAAACAGUGUUGAGUCCACUAUAAGGAAAGGUCACACCUAUUACGUGUUUGGAAUGAUGAUAAGAAGACAGAAAUUAUCUCAAUUAUGUGUGUAUUCCAAUCAACCAGCAGUGGAUUCCAGUGUACACAAGCAAAUGCAAAUGUUGUAUGAGACAAUAUAAUGACUAAAAUUAGUCAAAAAGUUAACUGAUGUACUACAUAAAGGGAAUCAGUAUUUUAUG